rnacentral:lncRNA from 1 species
UGUUGGAGGUGAUGGGAGUUGUCACUGCAACAGGACAGAGUUUUCACCCCAGUGCAGAUCUUUGAGGACCAAGUGAAGUAGCCUUCAUCCCAGAGGCAGCAUUCAGUGCAAGGAGAAGCCGCAUGAACUUGCCAGCGCAGUAAAUGGUGGAGACUGGGAAUCAAAUGACCACUGAGUUGUCCUGUUAGUAUUACUGAGCACCUACUAUUUGUCAGAUGCUGCUCCAAGCCCUGGGAGACAUCAGUGAUAAAAUUAUCCUUAUACCCGUGGAGUAUGACAACACAGAACAGAGUCACCUAUCCCUCAUGAUGAGGGUGUGAAAGAAAACAAGGUGCGCUGAGAGACGAAUGGGGAGGAGAUUAGUGAAAAUUCUCUGGGGAAGUGACAUUUAACCCAAGAUCUGAAGGAGCAGAAAGAGCUGGCUAGGGAAUCUGUCUUCGCAAGAGCUUACUCUCCAGAAUCUCGUGUAGUUUUGACGCAGCAUCAUGUCAGAGCCUCGUCCUUUGUUCUUUGAGCAUCUCACAGGAACUAACGCACCACCCUGAAUGCAGCUGGUGCUGAAGAAAUGUCU